rnacentral:rRNA from 1 species
GAUGAACGCUAGCUACAGGCUUAACACAUGCAAGUCGAGGGGCAGCAUUUUAGUUUGCUUGCAAACUAAAGAUGGCGACCGGCGCACGGGUGAGUAACACGUAUCCAACCUACCGAUAACUCUGGAAUAGCCUUUCGAAAGAAAGAUUAAUACCGGAUAGUAUACGAAUAUCGCAUGAUAUUUUUAUUAAAGAAUUUCGGUUAUCGAUGGGGAUGCGUUCCAUUAGUUUGUUGGCGGGGUAACGGCCCACCAAGACUACGAUGGAUAGGGGUUCUGAGAGGAAGGUCCCCCACAUUGGAACUGAGACACGGUCCAAACUCCUACGGGAGGCAGCAGUGAGGAAUAUUGGUCAAUGGGCGCAGGCCUGAACCAGCCAAGUAGCGUGAAGGAUGACUGCCUAUGGGUUGUAAACUUCUUUAUAUGGAAUAAAGUUUCCACGUGUGGAAUUUUGUAUGUACCAUA